CCUACGGGUGGCAGCAGUGAGGAAUAUUGGUCAAUGGGCGGAAGCCUGAACCAGCCAAGUAGCGUGCAGGAUGACGGCCCUACGGGUUGUAAACUGCUUUUAUACGGGAAUAACGCGCCUUACGUGUAGGGCUUUGCAUGUACCGUAUGACUAAUGACCGGCUAAUUCCGUGCCAGCAGCCGCGGUAAUCCGGAAGGUCCGGGCGUUAUCCGGAUUUAUGGGGUUUAACGUGGGCGUAGGCCGCAUGUCAAGCGUGCUGUGACAUGUCCGGGCUCAACCCGGGCCUUGCAGCGCGAACUGGCGUGCUUGAGUCCGCGGAAAGCAGGCGGAAUUCGUCGUGUAGCGGUGAAAUGCUUAGAUAUGACGAAGAACCCCGAUUGCGAAGGCAGCUUGCUGCAGCGGAACUGACGCUGAUGCUCGAAAGCGCGGGUAUCGAACAGGAUUAGAUACCCUUGUAGUC
rnacentral:rRNA from 1 species